UACGGGGGGGGCAAGCGUUGUUCGGAAUUACUGGGCGUAAAGGGCUCGUAGGCGGCCGACUAAGUCAGACGUGAAAUCCCCAGGCUCAACCUGGGAACUGCGUCUGAUACUGGUUGGCUUGAAUUCGGGAGAGGGAUGCAGAAUUCCAGGUGUAGCGGUGAAAUGCGUAGAUAUCUGGAGGAAUACCGGUGGCGAAGGCGGCAUCCUGGACCGACAUUGACGCUGAGGAGCGAAAGCUAGGGGAGCAAACGGG
rnacentral:rRNA from 1 species